AUACAUAGUUACAUAGCUGAAAAGAGACUUGCGUCCAUCAAGUUCAGCCUUCCUCACAUUUGUUUUUUGCUGUUGAUCCAAAAGAAGGCAAAAAAAAAAAAAAACUGUUUGAAGCAUUUCCAAUUUUGCAACAAGCUAGGAAAAAAAUCCUUCUUGACCCCAGAAUGGCAGUCAGAUUUAUCCUUGGUUCGAGAAGCUACAUUGAAAAAUGAUAUCCUUGAAUAUUCUGUUUUGCAAGUAUGCAUCUAGUCGCUGUUUGAACAUCUGUAUGGACUGAUAAAACCACUUCUUCAGGCAGAUAAUUCCACAUCCUUAUUGUUCU